GUUCUUCUGCUCGGUUCGUGAUGGAGGGCUGCAUAUUAAUCCCUGACGUCGUUAACCUGGGACCUGUCCCUGGCCGUGGUGAGCAUGCCCGUACCCAAUCGGGAAGCCUGAAGCGGCUGACUCACGGGCCCCACCUGUUUUUGACCAGGGGUUAACGGAUACCUCCCACGGCCAUGGUGGUUGGACA
rnacentral:other from 1 species